UCCCUGAUGGUCCAGGGGUUAGGACUCGACACUUUCACUGUGGAAGGCCCAGGUUCAAUCCCUGGUUGGGGAA